AAAUCUUCAAAGUCAAACCUUUUGUUAAUUCAAUUGGUUCUGCUUUGGUAUUGGAGGAUUAUUGCAGCUUCACACCUGCUCCUCUUUGUGCAUUAGCUGGAUCUCAGUGUUAUGCUUGGUUCCACUCAGCGUGAUAAGUUAUCUAUCGCUGAGGACACCCUGUUAAAAAGGGGUGGCCAAGGUAAAUGCAGAUGAACCGCUUCUAAUAGUCCAUUGACUUGGACAAUAUCUAAUUUAUG
rnacentral:misc_RNA from 1 species